UACGUAGGUGGCAAGCGUUGUCCGGAUUUACUGGGCGUAAAGAGCGCGCAGGCGGUCGUUCAAGUCGCGUGUGAAAGCCCCCGGCUCAACUGGGGAGGGUCACGCGAUACUGAUCGACUCGAAGGCAGGAGAGGGAAGUGGAAUUCCCGGUGUAGUGGUGAAAUGCGUAGAUAUCGGGAGGAACACCAGUGGCGAAGGCGACUUCCUGGCCUGUUCUUGACGCUGAGGCACGAAAGCUAGGGGAGCAAACGGG
rnacentral:rRNA from 1 species